UUUCCCCAAAUGGGCCAGCCCAAAAUAAACCUGAAAUCAGCCCAUCCCCACCUGCGGCGCAUCAUUUGCCUCCAAUUAAACUCUGCGAGCUCGUCCCCUGGUUCAGCCGUUGCGGAAGUUGCAGAGCCAUUUGCCAAAGUUUUUCAACACAAAUGGCGGGGGGACAGCCGGAGAGAGAAGACAAGGUUUCGUUGGAUCUCACCGAAGAAAUACUUCAGAGCAUGGAAGUCGGCAUGGCCUUUCGCGAUUAUAAUGGUAGAAUCAGUUCAAUGGAUUUUCAUAGGACAUCAAAUUUUCUGGUGACUGCUAGUGAUGAUGAAUCCAUUCGACUUUAUGAUGUUGCCAAUGCUACGUGUUUGAAGACAAUUAAUAGCAAAAAAUAUGGGGUUGAUCUAGUUUGCUUUACUUCACAUCCCACAACAGUUAUAUACUCUUCAAAGAAUGGCUGGGAUGAAUCAUUGCGGCUCCUCUCAUUGCAUGACAACAAGUACUUGCGGUAUUUCAAAGGACACCAUGACAGGGUUGUCUCCCUAAGCCUGUGCUCUCGAAAAGAAUGCUUUAUCUCUGGCUCUCUGGAUCGAACAGUUUUACUUUGGGAUCAAAGAGCUGAGAAGUGUCAGGGUCUUUUACGUGUACAAGGUAGGCCUGCAACUGCUUAUGAUGAUCAAGGGCUUGUCUUUGCAAUUGCUUUUGGAGGAUACAUAAGAAUGUUUGAUGCUCGUAAGUAUGAAAAGGGCCCUUUCGAUAUAUUUUCUGUUGGGGGAGAUGUCUCUGAUGCAAAUGUUGUUAAAUUCAGUAAUGAUGGGAGACUUGUGCUUCUGACUACUGCAGAAGGACAUAUUCAUGUUCUUGAUUCAUUCCGUGGAACUCUUUUAUUUACAUUCAAUGUCAAGCCAGUUUUAAGCAAUUCCACUUUGGAGGCAUCUUUCAGCACCGAGGGAACAUUUGUUAUAUCAGGUUCGGGUGAUGGUAGUGUUUUUGCCUGGAAUGCUCGAAGUGGCAAAGAAGUUGCCAGUUGGAUGAGUACUGAAACUGAACCUCCUGUGAUAAAAUGGGCUCCAGGAAGCCUAAUGUUUGUCACUGGUUCUUCUGAAUUAUCAUUUUGGAUUCCAGACUUGUCUAAAUUGGGAGCUUACGUCGGAAGAAAAUAGAAAUGCAUUUGCGAUGCAAUCAUAAUUUUUUAUUCUGAGGCAUUUGAAGUUAUCUUUGCAGGGGACAGUUGAAGAACAGAUGGAAGAACAUGCACCCCCUUCUGUACCAUAGAUUGUACUUUCUGAAGGUGAUCUGUGGUUCAGUUAUGUUAAAGUUUAGUGAUCCAGUGUAUAGUCACGACGCAUGUUGCUUUAUCACUUGAGGUUUCACAAUAUUGGGGAAAAUAAAAAAGAGAAAUAAACUCAUUUAUUCUACUCCAUCAAUGAGCGGCUAACCUUAGCACGUAAGGAUUGCAAGAUUGCAAGGUUUAGGUUCUUCAUAUAAUGAAAAACUAGCUGAUCCUUAUUAUUUUGGUCAAUUGUAAAUUUAUUUUGAUUAUUUUAAAUUGCUCCUAUAGGCCCAAAACUUUUCCUGAUUAUCAAUGUCACUUAUGUAGCUGUUGGUCAAUGAUUUGUUGAGCAUGCAAGUGUAGUCAAAAGCAUUGGCUUCUGUUUACCCAUUUCGAUUUUUUUUGUGUCCCACCAAAAAUACCUAAAUAUUAUAGUAACAUAUUGAUUGGUCCUCAA